CCUGGCUGGCAGUAUCGCGGUGGUCCCACCUGACCCCAUGCCGAACUCAGAAGUGAAACGCCGUAGCGCCGAUGGUAGUGUGGGGUCUCCCCAUGCGAGAGUAGGGAACUGCCAGGC
rnacentral:rRNA from 1 species